rnacentral:rRNA from 1 species
UACGUAGGGGGCAAGCGUUGUCCGGAAUCAUUGGGCGUAAAGCGCGUGUAGGCGGCUUGGUAAGUCCGGUGUGAAACCUUGGGGCUCAACCCCAAGCCUGCACUGGAUACUGCCUCGCUUGAGUCCGGGAGGGGAGAGCGGAAUUCCUAGUGUAGCGGUGAAAUGCGCAGAUAUUAGGAAGAACACCGGUGGCGAAGGCGGCUCUCUGGAACGGUACUGACGCUGAGACGCGAAAGCGUGGGGAGCGAACAGGAUUAGAUACCCUGGUAGUCCACGCCGUAAACGAUGGGCACUAGAUGUGGGCGGUGUCGACUCCGCCCGUGUCGAAGCUAACGCAUUAAGUGCCCCGCCUGGGGAGUACGGCCGCAAGGCUAAA